rnacentral:rRNA from 1 species
AAAGGUAAUACUUUUAGGAAACCUUUAUCCUUUGGCGGCCUUUUUUCUUUUCAGAGGAAUUCGUCUAUAAAUUGAAAUUACCCGUUUACUUUCCCUUUCUUUUAUCAUUUAUACCGCCGUCUAAAUAAUAUAUUUAAAUCUAUAUUUCUAAUAAUUUUUGUCAAGUCAGGUCAAGGUGAAGAAAUAAGAAAGAUUAGAUAAAUUACCUAUUAACAUUAUUAAUGAAUUUUUAUCUAAAGUCUAGAAUGAAACAGGAUUUGAAAGUAAGGUGGACAUAUAAUAAAAAUUCCACCAGAAUAAGAGUUUAGGUGUACACAUCGCCCGUCGCUCUUA